GUUGGGGAGUUGAAAUUCCUUUGAAAUGGUUCCUGUUUCAACAGGUUAUUGAAAAAUUAAAAGAGAACAAAGUUCCAAUUUCCACAACAAAGAAAGUCCAACAGAUGGCAAGUCAUAAGGACAUUGGCAUAACCGAUGAUUCCGAUUUCCGAAAAUGUCUACUUUACUUCCAUGACGUGGGAACAAUUAUUUACUAUGAUGAAGAGGGAUUAAAUGAGAACGUAAUUUUGGAUCCUAAGUGGUUGAUUGAUGCAUUUAGAUGUCUUGUGUCUCAUCA
rnacentral:lncRNA from 1 species